AUGUAGGUGAAUUUAUGCUAUAACUAAGUUGCAUGGAAACGGAAACAGAAACGCGGAUGCGAAACGUUUCAGAAACGGGAAUCAAUUUUUUAUUA
rnacentral:sRNA from 1 species